rnacentral:rRNA from 1 species
AAGCGCGUGUAGGCGGGUACGCACGUCGGGCGCUGAAAUCCCCUGGCUUAACCAGGGAAGUGGCACCGAUACGGCGUGUCUGGAGGGAGGUAGGGGGGUCUGGAACUUCCGGUGGAGCGGUGAAAUGCGUUGAGAUCGGAAGGAACGCCCGUGGCGAAAGCGAGGCCCUGGACCUUUUCUGACGCUGAGACGCGAAAGCCAGGGGAGCGAACGGGAUUAGAUACCCCUGU